GGGGGUGUGGUGGAAUGGCAGACACGCCAGCCUUAGGAGCUGGUGCUCUCACGAGCGUGGAGGUUCAAAUCCUCUCGCCCCCACCG
rnacentral:tRNA from 1 species